GUGUUUAGUAUUCUCCUCUUUCAGGACGAACGCUGGCGGCGUGCCUAAUACAUGCAAGUCGAGCGCAGGAAAUCGACGGAACCCUUCGGGGGGAAGUCGACGGAAUGAGCGGCGGACGGGUGAGUAACACGUAAAGAACCUGCCCUCAGGUCUGGGAUAACCACGAGAAAUCGGGGCUAAUACCGGAUGGGUCAUCGGACCGCAUGGUCCGAGGAUGAAAGGCGCUUCGGCGUCGCCUGGGGAUGGCUUUGCGGUGCAUUAGCUAGUUGGUGGGGUAAUGGCCCACCAAGGCGACGAUGCAUAGCCGACCUGAGAGGGUCGGCCACACUGGGACUGAGACACGGCCCAGACUCCUACGGGAGGCAGCAGUAGGGAAUCUUCCACAAUGGACGAAAGUCUGAUGGAGCAACGCCGCGUGAACGAUGAAGGCCUUCGGGUCGUAAAGUUCUGUUGUAAGGGAAGAACAAGUGCCGCAGGCAAUGGCGGCACCUUGACGGUACCUUGCGAGAAAGCCACGGCUAACUACGUGCCAGCAGCCGCGGUAAUACGUAGGUGGCAAGCGUUGUCCGGAAUUAUUGGGCGUAAAGCGCGCGCAGGCGGCCUCUUAAGUCUGAUGUGAAAGCCCCCGGCUCAACCGGGGAGGGCCAUUGGAAACUGGGAGGCUUGAGUAUAGGAGAGAAGAGUGGAAUUCCACGUGUAGCGGUGAAAUGCGUAGAGAUGUGGAGGAACACCAGU
rnacentral:rRNA from 1 species